UUAGCAUCACUAUGAAUUCAUCAAGAUAAAUGUAUCCAGCCAACCGUAACAUUACAAGAGAAAAAUAAGUAUCCAGUCAAUCAUAACACUACAAACAAAAGUAACCCAUGCAUAGCAUACGUGUUUAAACAAUUUUCAUCACUAAAGUUGCACAACAAGCUCAGUUUAUAUUAGCUUAGAGGGCUCUAAAACAUCACCAACAGCAGAUAUCCAGGUCUGCCUUCCAUAUUCCCCCUACUUAGGUUUCAUCAUAUCUGCAGAAGAAGAAACAGAAUUUCAAUCAGGAGUGCAAUCUCAUGCAGUAGAAUAAGAAAACAAGUACUCUUAUGAAACUCAGAAGGCCAAAGGAGGUCAUGUUGCCUCACCUUUGUCACGGGCAAUACAAGGCUGACACAUUAACCUCCAUAUUCACAACCAAGAUAUUACUGUAAAAGUUGAAUGCAUACCAUGAAGCAGAGUUAAACAUGAUGGAACAUUACAAGGACCAUAUUGUUAUCGAUUGGUACCACAUUAUGCAGAAUGCAGAACAUUCCUACAAUAUCUUUUGAACCUGUGGAGUAGGAGGAUAAACACAAGCACACACCUAUGCAGGCACACAACUGAACUCAUCCAAAUAGAAAUUCAAAGACAUUGCUCAUAUUUUUCCAAUUAAAUUAAAUGACUAGAAACUUGAGUUUGCCAUCCAAAAAAAAAAUUGAAAGAAGAAAAUAAAACAUGAUUACCACUAAAAAAUUUGAAAGAAGAAAACAAUGAUAAUCACUAAAAAGAAAUUGAAAGAAGAGAAAAAAAUUGUUAUCACUAUAAGGUGCAACCUUCAACGAUUAGAACCUCAAAAUACUCAAUGCAAGACUUCACCUUAGGAUUUUGAAGACCUUCAAGCACCCAUCAUCAAUCUUUUAGAAUCAACAACCAUUUAAUCCCAUUCUCAUCAAAACGGUCCAAUGUCCAAGAAUUGAAGGAAAAUGACGUAUCUAUUUCUUCCUAAAAAGAAAAGGCGAAAUCAUCUAAUAAUUACUGUAUAAAUGUACAUUUGCCUGGGGGAUUCUACAUUAUAAAAGUAACCAAUGAAAAAGGGAGGAUUAAAUAUCGUUGUCUUCUUCUGAGCAUAGGAAGAAAAAAAAACUGAAAUCCAAUCUACAAUACUGCAAAAUUACCAUUGAAUAAAAACUUCACCUUGAACAACAUGUCCAGUUUCUCUCUAUUAUUGAAGGAGAGGGUGAUACCCAGUAGCUCUGGUUAAAACAAUUUUUUUUUGAGAAGCUAGUUCCAAAUGGUAAAGAUUGAGAGUAACUAAAAGUUAUAUAGCCACCCAAACUUAACAACAAUUGGAUGUAAUGACAGGUAAGUCAGGUGCACACUGUGCAGCGGAGAAGGACGACCAAGAAUCUUGGCAAAAUUGAGAAGAAACCCAGAAGCAGGAGCAACAGGUGCAGCCAUUGAGAGGAAGAACAAACGCACAACCAGUACAGAGAUUCCUCAGUGAUGUGGCACAAAAAACUAACUGAAAUACCAAGAUGCAAAUAUGGUGUUCUAGUAUUCAAAAGAAUAGAGAAGACAAUUAGUUGCAAACUUUUUUUCAAUCCAAAAUGUGUACACACACAAACAUGUAUAUAUGUGUAUGUAUGCAUUUACGUAUAUACAGGGAGGUGUAUAUAGCCAUAUAUACAUAUAUGCAACUAUACAUAUAUGUAUAUACAUGAAUAUGCAUACAUACAUAUGUACUAGUUUAUCUGUUGCCACACAUUCGCGUGGCUUUUCCCCGAUUUGAGUGCAGGAAAUGGUUAAUCUAGACCUAUGUAUAUAUCUGUAAAGUUAAUUAUCUGCCGCACUGUUCUAGGAGCUAAUUGGAAGAAUGUAAAAAUAUUGAUUAUAAUCAACAAACAGUAUGAAUUCCUGAAGUGAGAAGAAAGUUUCAAUAAAGUCUAUUAUAUUACAGUGUGAAUACUUCGUCAACCAUACCACGGGCUGAAAAACAGGCAAGCAAUUUUCAAUGAAUGCCACAAAAGGUGAAGCCAAGCAGGGUGGUCAUUGCUGCUAGAAAAGGCACGCCACUGCUAAGCACAAAAAGAGAGAGAUUUACAUUAUGAAAAUUUGGAAAAAAGAGUUGCUCAUCUAGUGCUUUUUGUUACCUAUUCUCUUGCUAGUAAAUAGGACCUACGUUGAGAAUGUAGCACAAGUAUUUGAUAAGGACAAAAAACUCACAUCCAUACAAGACUAAUUAGCAAAAUUAGAAAAUCAAAUGCUGAAAUUUAGUUGGGAAAUAUAGACCAUUGCUGCUUUGGCUCUGAACUUACAAAGCCUAACAUUCAGGUAUUCAAAUUUGUUCAUCUCAGUAUUGCAGUUUAGGUUUUGGACUUUCAUUUCCUAACCAACAAUUUAGCAAAUAUGGUCAGAAUGAUGAUAAAAUUAUGUCGAUGCAAGUAAAUAAAAUACUUGCAUAAAGUACAAGAAGCCAAGGAACUCUCUUAUCAUCCAAUUUAAGCAAAUUCUCAAGCUCACAACAUUCUUGGUGUCAAAUAUACCCGCAGCAUUUGCACUUCUAUUUGUAUGGACUGCCAUUUAAACUAUCCUCCUCUAGGUUGCCAUUAUGUAGACUACACACCUUAGCCUUUCCAUCUUCCCACCACCGCAUUCCUUCUCUCUCGUGUUACCAAGACAGGACUGUCUUCAUGCAUAUUUCACUGAUACAUAACCUUAUGAAUGCAAUGAAUAACUCACAUUCAAUUCAAUUGAGACAUAAUCUUGUGAAUGCAACGUGUUCACAGCACAUACAUGGCUCACAGGAAAUUCUAAAUAUCAUUCCGAUCUAGAUUUGCCAUAGGUAAAUGCCAACAGCACCAUCCCACCAUUUUAAAACUUCAUCAUAGAAAGAGAAGAGCUCCCUGCUCCUACGUAAUAUAUGAACUUCAACAGCAUCGGGAAACACAUAUGAAAAAUAUCAAAUAAUUGAUAUGUCUCUAGAUUCAACCUCCCAGGGUUAAAGCUAAAUACUCCGAAUGGUCGACAGUAAGUCAUAUAUACUCGAUAAAAACACCCAUCUUCAGCACCACUACUUAAAAAAAUGCACAUGCAGCAUUCCUUAGAUGAUGGUUACUCAUCUAGAAUUUAAGUUGCAGUUCAUUUAAUAACCAGAAGCAUUAUAUCAAAGAAGCAACAAUCAGGCUAUCAAAGCCAUAACUUAUCAUGUUAAGUUAAAAGCUAGAUCAAGUCCCUUUGAAUCUCGUUCUGGUGCAUAACAAUGGGUACUCACAUGCAAGGAGUGGAGUAAACAUUCUAUAGCACUUAUAUAGCUUCACCCUCAAAAAAUAAAAACCUUCCACAGGAUCAAGCAAACAUAGAAAACAAGCUGAUUUAUCAUUCACUUGUUUAGCAAUUCUUUUUCUCAACAACUGUAAAAAGAGGGAAAAUAGCCCAGCUACGGGACGUCUCAUAGCCUGUUCUGUAUUGAAGCCAAUGAAAAGUUGUGUACUAUUGAGAGAACUAACCAAACUUGAGCAGAAAAAAUUUCCCUUCAUCCCAUCAUUGCGAUACCAAAUACCCAAACGGAUUUUAUCUUAAUCAUUUAACUGACGAAAUUUGUCGAUUAAGCAAAACAACAAUUAUAAUAAUUAAUCAAGAAAUAAAUGAUAUAAACCUGAUUUAUUCACCACUGCCACUACUCUCAGAGUCUUCUGGGACAAAGGAACACUUUAAUACACUUGAUAUCUUCAUACUUAACAACUGCUGGAGACAAAGAAUGGAGCAGGAACAAUAAUUGCUCAUUUGAGGACAAAAAGUUUUCUUCAGCAAAAUAAGUCAAGAGAUUUUAUUUUCCUUCCCAUGAACAUACCUCAUUUGCCUAACAUUCAAAUAAUUGCUCUCAAAGGUAGAAACUAAUAUACCACCUCUAUCCUCUAUCAACCACACAAAAACAGAAUUGCUAUAGAUAAAUAGAAAAACUGAAUUCAAAUACAAAAUUAAUUAAAAAAAAAAGUGAUACGUACCACUUAAAAAGCCAUAUAAAAUCAAUUCCCCAAAUAGAAAUCAAUCAAAGAUUAAACUCAAAUUUUAAAAAUUCAAUGAAAAAAAAGAGAAUCUUUGAGCACAAACACCAACUACAAAAGUGCUCACAAUCUAGAAAACAAAGAAACGAAAAUUUGAAAGAAACAAAUAAGACAAAACUUAGGGUAAGAACAAAAUUUUGUAAAAUACAAGAGAGGAAGUAAUGAAUCUGGGUAGUCUCGCCAAGAUGCAUGCCCAUGUGUUUGUGAAAGUGAACGAAGGGUGGUGCGAUUGAAUAGAAGAGGCAGGAAUUGCUAGAUAAUUGUUGAUGAGCUGAGGGAAUUUUUUGUCUUUUAACCAUCAGCUCUCUACGCUCUAUUGUUGUCCCAGAUUAACACUAGAGCUGUGAAAGAUGAAGAUGAUGACACCACAGGUAAAUUUACCUCCAUGCUUGGUCUGUGCAGAAAAGGAGUAUACAAUGGAAGAGAAGCAAUUUGUGGACAAUUGGGAGAUCGGAGUGGGGAGACAGAGUGACAACAAUGGAAGGUUAGAGGAGAGAGUGGAAUUGCUAGGAUGUUUGUCAAGUUCACGGCAAAAGCCACUGGAAUUGUUAAAACUUACAAGAUAACCAGUCCAUUAUCUAACCAAAAGAUGAAGAUGCCCCAAAAAAUUCAACAAAUCCACAAUAAUACCGCAACAGUCUCAGCAGCCAACCAGAGAUCAAAUUAGAUGAUGAAAUCAAUUGAUAACCAAAUAACCACAGCAACUGCUUUAAAUUACCAAAUAACCAAAUCCGGUCAAAAUAAGUGGCCCAGUCAAAAUAAUUGAGCAUCUAAAUUGGAAUUCAAUUGACAAUCCAAUUCCACUCAUUCUCAUCUUUACAAUAUUAAGGAUGUAUAUACUAGUUAUUGAGCAACAUGCCCAGACAGUGUGGAAUGGCAUAUAGAUUUAUAACCGCAAACUGCAGAAACAUACAACUAAAAAAUUACUGUGCAAAGCCACAGCUUCUCCAUUCUGGCUUGCUAAUCUGCUUUAACUGCAGCUUUAAAGCUAUUCAAAAUGUAUUGCAAGAGAUGCACAAACUUCAUGUAAAAACUACAAUCAUAACCAAAAGCAAAAUUACAUUGUCAUAUUACUGAAGAGCUCCAACCUUAGGAAGCUUGCACAUUCUAUCUUUCUCAAGAUAAGAAGGAUAGCAAAGCUCACUAAGAGAAGCAAGUCCAACUAGUAUUUUUUGAUAUCAUGACAUGGUACAAGAUUAAAUUAUAACUCAUUCAGAGAUUAUACUCCUAAUUCAUUUAUUUCGGUGUAAAAUAUGCUAAAAAUAUGUUCUUCGAAGAUGGUAUCUCCCAAGAGAUACUCAAAUUUGUCCCUAAAAGCAAGCAUAAAGCCAAAAUAACAAGUGUUGUUCCUUUGAGUACCGGCAUGAAGCCACAUCCAACAGAUGCAUUCAAAAUUUCUCCUUAUCCAUUAAUCCAUGUAAGCAAGAGCAGGAUCCUCGUAAAUCUCCUCUAUAACCCAUUUUGGGGGGAGAAAAUCUAAACAACGAAAUGCCAGACAAUAAUUUGUAAACGUACCUCAUUUGGUCCCCGUCUGGUGUUCACGAAGGCGCCGACGGCGAAGACAGCGGCUAAGAAGAGUAAACCCCAUAUAUCGUUAAAUCUUUGGUUGCAGUCGUUGAUCUUUUCCUGCAACUUUGUAACCUCAAGCUGCAUUUCCAUUUGCUUGGCGCUCAAAUUGGCAACUUCCGACGCUUUAACUGCCGCGGCACGGGCCUCCCUAUCCAGCAUCUGCUCCAAUUUCUUUUGCAAUAACACGAGACCUGUGGCGAUUGAUCUCGUGACGACCGAUGAUAAAGCUAAAUCGCCAAGGUUAAUGUCAGUCUCGCCUGGGGCUAAGGUUGGGGUUUGGGUUGCAGGGGUCGGGGUCCCGGUCCCGGACCGGGAUUGGGUAGGGGUCGGGGUUGGGGUCCCGGUCCCGGACGUCGGGGUCGGGACCGGGAAUUGGGUAGGGAUCGGGGUCGGUGUGGAGGUCACGGUUGGGGUCGGGUCAGCCACAGAAAUAGGGGUGGAUUGGGACUCGACGGUUGAAAACCGUCU
rnacentral:lncRNA from 1 species